ensembl:lncRNA
CUCAAAGUUGAAAAGGGGUGCAUGGAUCAAGAUGUUAGAACACCAACUACUACAACACAACAGCUCAGAUUUUAAUUUCAACUGGCAGAUGAGGACAUGAAAUUACUAAUCUUAGUAGAGGUGGCAAAGGGAGAGAAGAGCAUCAUCAGUCAGACAGAAAAGAGGAAGUUGGAGAUGGGCUUGAAUCAACUCAAAACAUUUCUUUAUUUUCCCUUUUCCGCUGUUCAGCAUUUUCACACACAUACACACACAGACGUGCUUAUACUGAUCAAGAUGCAAGAUGGUGCCAGUGUAUCUGUCAGCAUGCUGUCGUUCUUGUCUUUCCCGUGUAUUACAGUUUGUUGUAUCUGUUGUCUGUUCAUCUGGCAUCUGUGCUGUUUUUACUUUUCGUCGUGCCACACUGGUAUCGUAUAGACUCAGUGUUGACCUAUGAUCGUCAAGCUUUGCUCAACAUCAAAAGCUGUAUGGUAGCUCAUCUGGGAUUUGGUCCUGCUCUGCAUUCUCAUUGUCAAUCCUCAUCUUGCCAACCCGCAUCGGAGUGCGCUCGCUGGCUACCUUGCUGUGUUCCUCCUCUAAGGAAAGUGCCACAGGAAGAGAGGGAAUCAUGGUGGUGUUUGGGUGAGAAUCAGUUCCUCCAUUCAAUCGAGUUUGUUUACUAUAAGCUUGGAGGGACUCAACUUGAUGGAAGCGAUUGCUCAUGGGAUUACAGAUAUGUUUUUCAUCUGACUAUUUCCCCAGAUUUCCUACACUCAUCUAAUUGCUCUGUUCCUCCACGAUUACGGAUUCGUCAUAGAGGAGUAGACUGUUUAAAUCUCUGCCAACUGGAAUGCGUUCAACCGGAUCUGGCCUCGUUACCUCAGUCUCCUCUGAAUAUGACCCUAGUUAAUGCUAGGUCUGUGUGCAACAAAAUGUUUAUUUGAUAUGACUUUUAUAGCAUGAGUUAUAGCAUGGGAGCAGCAGUGAGACAUCAAGAACCAUCCCUGAACAAAGGGCUACGUGACUGUAUUUAGCAUUCAGAAAGACAUCUGUCUCGCAAGCUCUACCACCUCAACAUUUGGGGUUACACCUGUAACAACAUCUGUACUGUGAGAACGGAAAGCGAUCACAUCAAAUGCUAUCCUUAAUUUACGUUGAGAAUGAAACUUCAUUUACAUUACAAACAGAAAACCUGGUUUGAAACACAGUAUAAAAUGUCUGUGCUGAUACUGUUCGGAGUUCACUUUGACGCCGACGAACCCAAAGUGCUUCAUGUACUUUGUCCCUUCCAUGCUGUAAUAAAGUUCUUUUUCUUUGAGAUCUUCGACAUCCUCUUCAUUUCUUCGGACAGUGGUGUUUUUUUUUCAGCAGUUAGUCUUUAUUUACAAAUGUCCUAGAAAGAUUUGCACU